CCCACACUGCCGCAUGGCAGAGUGAGAAAAGGGAAUACCGCUUUGAGAUGGACUCGCGUCUGAUUAGCCAGUUGGCGGGGUAACGGCCCACCAAAGCGACGAUCAGUAGCCGGACUGAGAGGUUGAUCGGCCACAUUGGGACUGAGACACGGCCCAGACUCCUACGGGAGGCAGCAGUGGGGAAUAUUGCACAAUGGGGGGAACCCUGAUGCAGCGACGCCGCGUGGAGGAAGAAGGUAUUCGUAUUGUAAACUCCUGUCGUGUGGGACGAAGAAUGACGGUACCACACAAGAAAGCACCGGCUAACUACGUGCCAGCAGCCGCGGUAAAACGUAGGGUGCGAGCGUUGUCCGGAAUUACUGGGUGUAAAGGGAGCGCAGGCGGUCAUUUAAGUUGGGUGUCAAAACUACGGGCUCAACCCGUACCCGCACUCAAAACUGAGUGACUUGAGUGGAGCAGAGGUAGGCGGAAUUUCCGGUGUAGCGGUGGAAUGCGUAGAUAUCGGAAGGAACACCAGUGGCGAAGGCGGCCUACUGGGCUUUAACUGACGCUGAGGCUCGAAAGCAUGGGUAGCAAACAG
rnacentral:rRNA from 1 species